CGGGUGGAGUCUUGGCAGCAGCCCCCACUCCUGGGCAUGGCAGGGAGCAGCACCUCAGGGACUUGGGAAGUUCCUUUGGUCUGGGGGCGGCCUGGGGCUUUUUUCUGGGUAUGCCCUGAGACCAGCCCUCCCGCAGGCACAAUGACAAUAAGACCUUCCUGGUGUGGGUCAACGAGGAGGACCACCUGCGGGUCAUCUCCAUGCAGAAGGGGGGCAACAUGAAGGAGGUGUUCACCCGCUUCUGCACCGGCCUCACCCAGAUUGAAACUCUCUUCAAGUCUAAGGACUAUGAGUUCAUGUGGAACCCUCACCUGGGCUACAUCCUCACCUGCCCGUCCAACCUGGGCACCGGGCUGCGGGCAGGUGUGCAUAUCAAGCUGCCCAACCUGGGCAAGCAUGAGAAGUUCUCGGAGGUGCUU
rnacentral:sRNA from 1 species